ensembl:miRNA MIR200A microRNA mir-200a
GGGCCUCUGUGGACAUCUUACCGGACAGUGCUGGAUUUCUCAGCUCAACUCUAACACUGUCUGGUAACGAUGUUCAAAGGUGACCCAC